CUGCUCACCUGGGCAGCACAUAUACUAAUGUUGCAGUGGUACAUAGAAGAGGAGCAUGGUCCCUGUGCAAGGAUGACUCGCAAAUUCAUGAAGCAUUCCAUAUCUUU
ensembl:snRNA U6 U6 spliceosomal RNA